rnacentral:tRNA from 1 species
GCCGAGGUGGCGAAAUUGGUAGACGCGCUAGACUCAAAAUCUAGUGAUGGUGACAUCGUGUCGGUUCGAGUCCGACUCUCGGUACCA